rnacentral:rRNA from 1 species
AUGUUGCUGGCAAGACAUCCUAUGAGGACCUGCUCACCGUGGACGGUAGGCUAUGCGGGAGCUUUAGAGAGGCUGCCGAAACGUUGGGACUCAUCGAGGCAGAUAACACGCUCGAUGACUGUCUUACCGAGGCAAAGCAGUGGGCGAUGCCAUGUUCGCUCAGGAGGCUCUUCGCAACAAUUUUCGUGCACUGUAAGCCAGGCGACGUGCGUGGUUUAUGGGAUAGGCACUUGGAGCCUAUGUCUGAUGACUAUCGGCGAUCACACACGUGCCCGAUUGAGGUGGAACAAAUGGUGUUGCUUGACAUUAGGGGUAUGUUGCAGUCCAUGGGCAAAGACAUAG